rnacentral:rRNA from 1 species
CCUACGGGCGGCAGCAGUGAGGAAUAUUGGUCAAUGGGCGGAAGCCUGAACCAGCCAAGUAGCGUGCGGGCUGAAGGCCCUACGGGUCGUAAACCGCUUUUGCACGGGGAUAACACCCUCCACUUGUGGAGGUCUGCAGGUACCGUGCGAAUAAGUGCCGGCUAAUUCCGUGCCAGCAGCCGCGGUAAUACGGAAGGCCCGAGCGUUAUCCGGAUUCAUUGGGCUUAAAGGGAGCGUAGGCGGGCGGUCAAGGCAGCGGUACAAUCGCGCGGCUCAACCGCGCCCCGCAGUUGAAACUGGACGCCUUGAGUGCACAACAGGCAGGCGGAAUUCGUGGUGUAGCGGUGAAAUACAUAGAU